rnacentral:rRNA from 1 species
AGGGCGUAUGGUGGAUGCCUUGGCAUUAGAAGCUGAUGAAGGACGUGACUAACUACGAUAUGCUUCGGGGAGAUGUACGUAAUCUUUGAUCCGGAGAUUUCCGAAUGGGGGAACCCACUAGUGGUAAUGCACUAGUAUCGUAUAAUGAAAACAUAGUUAUACAGAAAGCAACCCAGUGAACUGAAACAUCUUAGUAACUGGAGGAAAAGAAAGAAAAAUCGAUUUCCUUAGUAGUGGCGAGCGAAACGGAAAGAGCCCAAACCGACUUUAGAGUCGGGGUUGUAGGACCUCUACUUAAGAGUUACAAAUUCACAAUAUAGUUGAACUAUUCUGGAAAGUUUGGCAAAACAAGGUGAUAGCCCUGUAAACGAAAUAUUGUGAACUCUUUGAGGUAUCCUGAGUACAACGAGACACGUGGAAUCUUGUUGGAAUCUGCGGGGACCAUCCCGCAAGGCUAAAUACUCUCUAAUGACCGAUAGUGAACAAGUACCGUGAGGGAAAGGUGAAAAGAACCCCGGGAGGGGAGUGAAAUAGAACCUGAAACCUUAUGCUUACAAGCAAUGGGAGCGCAAGUGACCAUGUACUUUUUGUAGAACGGGCCAACGAGUUAUGGUAUGCAGCGAGGUUAAGUUCCUGGAGGAACGGAGCCGUAGGGAAACCGAGUCUGAAUAGGGCGGCUAGUUGCAUGCUGUAGACCCGAAACCGGGUGACCUAUCCAUGUGCAGGUUGAAGUAACCGUAAAAGGUUAUGGAGGACCGAACUUAUAUCCGUUGAAAAGGGUUAGGAUGACGUGUGGAUAGCGGUGAAAUUCCAAUCGAACUCGGAGAUAGCUGGUUCUCCUCGAAAUAGCUUUAGGGCUAGCCUCAAGGGAAGAUACGCGGGGGUAGAGCACUGAAUGUUCUAGGGGCCUUCACCGGUUACCGAAAACUAUCAAACUCCGAAUACCGUAGUAUUAUACUUGGGAGUCAGACUACGAGAGAUAAGUUCCGUGGUCAAAAGGGAAACAGCCCAGACCUACAGCUAAGGUCCCAAAAUGUAGAUUAAGUGGAAAAGGAUGUGGAGCUGCAUAGACAACUAGGAUGUUGGCUUAGAAGCAGCCACUCAUUUAAAGAGUGCGUAAUAGCUCACUAGUCGAGUGACUCUGCGCCGAAGAUAAACGGGGCUAAAAUCUACUACCGAAGCUUAGGAAUUACUUUAAAGUAAUUGGUAGAGGAGCAUCGUAUGCGGGCAGAAGCUGUGCUGGAAGGCAUGGUGGACUGCAUAGGAGAGAGAAUGUUGGCAUGAGUAGCGUAAGGCAGGUGAGAAUCCUGUCCGCCGAAAAUCUAAGGUUUCCUGAGGAAGGUUCGUCCACUCAGGGUUAGUCGGGACCUAAGCCGAGGACGAGAGUCGUAGGCGAUGGACAACUGGUUGAGAUUCCAGUACCACCGAAAGUCGUUUGAGUGAAGUGGGGACACAGAAGGAUAGACAGAGCACGCCGUUGGUAGAGCGUGUCCAAGCAGUGAGGCUUGUGCGUAGGCAAAUCCGCGCACUUUAAGGCUAGGCUGUGAUGGGGAGGGAAAAAAGUACCGGAAGCUGUUGAUUUCACACUGUCAAGAAAAGCCGCUAGCGAGACCGUAGGUGCCCGUACCGCAAACCGACACAGGUAGAUGAGGAGAGAAUCCUAAGGUGAGCGAGAGAACUAUUGUUAAGGAACUCGGCAAAAUAACCCCGUAACUUCGGGAGAAGGGGUGCUCCGGAAACGGAGCCGCAGUGAAAAGUCCCAGGCGACUGUUUACCAAAAACACAGGUCUCUGCGAAAGCGAAAGCUGAAGUAUAGGGGCUGACGCCUGCCCGGUGCUGGAAGGUUAAGGGGAUGUGUUAGGGCAACCGAAGCACUGAACUUAAGCCCCAGUAAACGGCGGCCGUAACUAUAACGGUCCUAAGGUAGCGAAAUUCCUUGUCGGGUAAGUUCCGACCCGCACGAAAGGCGUAACGAUCUGGGCACUGUCUCAACAAUAGACUCGGUGAAAUUGUAGUACCGGUAAAGAUGCCGGUUACCCGCAGCAGGACGGAAAGACCCCAUGGAGCUUUACUGUAGCUUGAUAUUGAGAUUCGGCGUUGCAUGUACAGGAUAGGUGGGAGACUGCGAGGUAAGUACGCCAGUAUUUACGGAGUCACCGUUGGGAUACCACCCUUGUAACGUUGAGUUUCUAACAUUGCGCCGUGAUCCGGCGCAUGGACAGUGUCAGGUGGGCAGUUUGACUGGGGCGGUCGCCUCCUAAAGAGUAACGGAGGCGCCCAAAGGUUCCCUCAGUGCGGUCGGAAAUCGCGCGAAGAGUGUAAAGGCAGAAGGGAGCUUGACUGCGAGACAGACAAGUCGAGCAGGGACGAAAGUCGGGCUUAGUGAUCCGGUGGUUCCGCGUGGAAGGGCCAUCGCUCAACGGAUAAAAGCUACCCUGGGGAUAACAGGCUGAUACCCCCCAAGAGUUCACAUCGACGGGGGUGUUUGGCACCUCGAUGUCGGCUCGUCGCAUCCUGGGGCUGAAGCAGGUCCCAAGG